rnacentral:rRNA from 1 species
GACGAACGCUGGCGGCGUGCUUAACACAUGCAAGUCGAACGAAGAGCGAUGGAAGCUUGCUUCUAUCAAUCUUAGUGGCGUACGUGUGAGUAACGCGUAAUCAACCUGCCCUUCAGAGGGGGACAACAGUUGGAAACGACUGCUAAUACCGCAUACGAUCCAAUCCCGGCAUCGGGACUGGAUGAAAGGUGGCCUCUAUUCAUAAUCUAUCACUGAAGGAGGGGAUUGCGUCUGAUUAGCUAGUUGGAGGGGUAACGGCCCACCAAGGCGAUGAUCAGUAGCCGGUCUGGGGGGAUGAACGGCCACAGUGGGAAUGAAACACGGCCCAGACUCCUACGGGAGGCAGCAGUGGGGAAUCUUCCGCAAUGGACGAAAGUCUGACGGAGCAACGCCGCGUGAGUGAUGACGGCCUUCGGGUUGUAAAGCUCUGUUAAUCGGGACGAAUGGUUCUUGUGCGAAUAGUGCGAGGAUUUGACGGUACCGGAAGAGAAAGCCACGGCUAACUACGUG